rnacentral:pre_miRNA from 1 species
GAGACACCUCUAUGGAGUAGGGCAUGCUUCAGUGGGGCUUUGGUGCUCACUGAGUCUGCCCCUUGAGUGUGUUGCU